UGGCCAGACUCCUACGGGAGGCAGCAGUGAGGAAUAUUGGUCAAUGGCCGAGAGCCUGAACCAGCCAAGUCGCGUGAGGGAGUACUGCCCUAUGGGUUGUAAACCUCUUUUGUCGGGGAGCAAAAGCCGGACGUGUCCGUCUGUGAGAGUACCCGAAGAAAAAGCAUCGGCUAACUCCGUGCCAGCAGUCGCGGUAAUACGGAGGAUGCGAGCGUUAUCCGGAUUUAUUGGGUUUAAAGGGUGCGCAGGCGGAAUGUCAAGUCAGCGGUAAAAUUUCGGGGCUCAACCCCGUCGUGCCGUUGAAACUGGCGUUCUUGAGUGAGCGAGAAGUAUGCGGAAUGCGUGGUGUAGCGGUGAAAUGCAUAGAUAUCACGCAGAACUCCGAUUGCGAAGGCAGCAUACCGGCGCUCAACUGACGCUCAUGCACGAAAGCGUGGGUAUCGAACAGGAUUAGAUACCCUGGUAA
rnacentral:rRNA from 1 species